AAAAAUAUUAAUGGCCGGUUAUCAAGAUUCUUUAUUCAAUUUUCAAUUAUAAAUUGUAAAGAAAAAGAGGAUGAAAAAAAAGAAAACAAUAGAAAUUAAAAAAGGAAAAUAACUUGUCCAGUUAAUAGAGAACAAUUGAAAAAUUCAUUUCCUUUCGAUACUCGUCAUCCUCAUCUCAUUUCGGUUCUUUAUAUCGUGUAAUACGUGGUCUCGAUUAACCUGCGUCGAAUGUACUAACCCAUCCUACCGUGUUCCGACUCGGUAAUUAGCUUGGUCCAACGAUGUGACGGUUCGGGGAAGAAUCUUGCCUGUAGGAGUCGUUCUUUUAAUAAUUAAAAUGAAAGUAAUACAGAUAUAGGAAACUAAAUGAAGACGAAAGCAGUUCCAAUAGCUCAGAAGUAUUGCAAAGGAGCCGAAUUGACCGAUAUCUGAAUUCUAAUUACCAAAGAAGAUAAAAGGAUUUCAACUAUGCUCAACGCGAUUAUUAAACAUUUGACAUCCGAAAUGAAAUACACUUACAUUGGUACUUUCUGUUCUUCCUUACAUCCGAGGAUAAGUCAUACUUGGAUAGUACAAAUGUCCGACCUUCAACCAGAUUAGGAAAUGAAAACGUUUAUCUCUUUUCUAGUCCUAUAUUUAAAUGGGAAAUCGAUACAUGCUGUGAAUGAUUUUAUGAUGGCGGCGGGAGUAUUUCUACUGAUAAGUGGAACAUUAGGUCUCUUAACUCAAACUAUGCUAAAGAUAUUCUUAGUGCAUAUAAAUCAAGAACCUAUAUAUUUUUCUACUAGUCUAAUGAAGAAUAUUAGAUAUGAAAAGCAAGACGCUCGAUGAAAGAGAUGAAUAAUAACAUAUGAAUAAAAAUUUCAAUAUUGUUUGAAAGGAUUUUGCGUCACGUAUCGUUCGUCAUUUAAUGUAUCAGAUCGUCAAAUCGGCGGAGGAAGCUGAUGCUGCUCACGAAUUUAUUACAAAUCUUCCUAGUGAUAUGAAACCCAAGUUGGUGAGAGAGACACUUAAUUAUGCAGUGUAUGGAAACAACUUGUUGCUAUUGCUAGGGUGUUUCUAUAGCAACCAUUUACUUUAAUAUUGGAUUUUAAUAAACGAGCACAUUGGAUUGUGAAAACAGAAGAAGUUUCAAGAAGCAGUUGUAAAAUCUAACCAAAGAGUAAACAUUGUUAGUACAUUGCUCGUAGAUUAAAUGCCCUUAAAUCUUCUGGUGUUGAUGUACUGCAACGCGAUGUUGCUAUAGAGGUUUUUGUUGCAGUUCAUCGGCCGUGAUGACACUCUGAAUUAUAGCUCGAAUAUAAAAAAAGAAAAGAAAGAAAAAUACCAUAUGUCUUAUGCGCGGACAGCGAAUUACAUAGUAUCGAUCGGCAGAAUUGUAUUAUUUAAGAUCAUCACUGAUUCUUAAAUCAUUUUUAGUAUUUCUUGAAGGAAGAAGAAAAAGAAGGUGAAACAUCCCUGCUUGACGACGAAGUUUGGAAAGACCAAUGUGGCGCAGUUUUGUAAAGCAUGGAACGGUGGUACGAGGAAAUGGGAUUUUAUCAAAGGAUCCAAACGUAAGCAGCUUUAGCUGGAGGAUAUAUGCGAUUGUGCUCAAAAAUGUUUGUCGAAGGCUCAUCCGACGUUCCACGCAGGGCAUGAGUCAAAGGGGGAUUAAAAUGAAACUAAGGGAGAUUUAUCGUAUAAAUCAAUUUCACAUACAGAUAUGAUCAAGAGAUUAACCGUUUUUGGAAGUAGUAACAUUAGCAGAGGAAUACUUUUAAAUUAUACGUGAAAUAGAAAGUCGAUGUUUACGUCAUUGUUAUUGCAUCAAUUUAAAUUAAGUAACCAUCCCAUAUAAUUAAAAAAGAAGGAGUGUUGAAUUCUACAUUUCAAAUUGUUUGUCAAAAUAUUUACGACACGCAUUUAAAAAAUAUUCGUAAUAUUUAAUGUGCAUUUUUCAUAAAUAUUGAAAUUUGGAUGAAGUAACUGCUGCGUAGCGCGAGUUACCCUGUUGAAACAUUUUGAUAGGGAUUUUGUGAUAAUGGAUGUAUGUAGCACGUGCUCCCGCACUUAUCGUGAAGUACCUUCUUUUGUACCCUUCGUUAUUAUAUCUCUCCAUCUGCGUAUGCUCUGAUGCGUACUUCUCUGUUCCAGUUCAAGUGGUCAAGAUUGAAUGCUCGGUCCUGUGUGCGUGUGUACGUACGAAUCCUGUCCUAUUUGUAUAAGAAGGAAAGUAUUCUUUCAUUUGUUUUCCUCUCAUCAUUGAUGAGACCACUGAAGAAUACGAUUAGCUGUAUAAUUCAAUUGCCUAUUUAUAUUCAUCUUUCGAUAACAGGGUUACAUAACUUGCUGAGCAAUGGACUAUUUUCUUAGGAAUCAAUUGUUUUAAAACAUAAUAUACGAAAUAUUAGGUAACUGGAGGCAUAAUGGGAUUAUUGUUUUGCAUUCUCCAAUGGGGAGUACAUUUCUGGGAAAAUGUAUUCGUUCAUAUGGAAGAGUUAAGUCAGGCGUGGUAUAUCGAUCUGCAAAAGACAACCAGAUAAUUAAAUAAUACAGCCAAAUAGAUAAUUGAAUAAUACCGCUAAUCGUAUUAUCGAAUUGUCUGCUUGGUCUAAUGAGACGAAAACCAAUGAAUAAAUACCCUCCUCGUUUUCUGAAUAAGAGAGGAGAUUUACGGGGUUUUAGCAGGUGCAUUGAUUGCCGCUCAUUUGAUUGACGCACAUAAGCGCGCACGUACAUGGAGAGAGAUUAUAAUAAAUCGUUCUAUAUGAUGGUAUUUCACGAUAGGUACGAGAGAAGGUAUUACGUACGUGCAGAUCGUUAUAUUCCGAUUAAUACCCGUUAGCAGAGGAAUUUGUUGACACGGAGGAUCAUAUAUUUUUGCAAAAAAAUCAAAAUUUUGUCCUUUAUAAGUUCCUACGAUGUCUGUGAUAAAUGUUGAAGCAAUUUUCUUCCCAUAUUAUCACCCCUCUCAUUAUGUAUAGGAUCUCUUUUUUUUUCUUAUUGAAUGACAUCACUAUCACUGCUGUCGUUUUCUACCCGAUUAAUAUUUAUUUUUUCUAACGCAUCCGUAUAAAUGUUUAUCUGGAAUUUCCCUUCGGUAUUACUUAUGACUCAAAACUCACUCGUGUUUGGAUAUUUUGCCAUUCUCUUAAUGAAAAAGAAAUAAGUAAUUAAAAGCGUUGGUAGUCUCAAAUUGUAUAUUACAAAAUCACGAAACGAUAUAUACAAAAAGAAUAUUAUAUUUCUGGUUUCUGGCUUAUUAGUCUAGGGAACUAUCUAUUUCACUAGAAGUUUCAAUACGAAGCGAGUUCAGCUUCCAAAAUCUCCUCAAUUUUAUGAUUGCUUGUUUAUUCCAUCAAAUAUCACUACCUCGUACGGGGUGUACUCGCAUACCAUUGCGGAAAAUUCGUUAUCACUCUCUUUAAGUGGUUUAAUAAAGCCCCCAGACCAUUGUGAAUGUACUUCUUUUUCGUAAAACCGACUAAUAUACUUUUCAUAUAACUUGGUAA